UUAUCAUUUUCUCCCUUUCUGUUUUUCUUCUGUUCAACACUUCCCAAUGCCCUUAGAUCACUGUCCUACUCAAAGAGGAAAGGAGAACCCCACCAGACCUGUCCCAGUCAGUGACUCUACCUUUGUUCUAGAAGGCGCUCCUUUCAGGGUUGUGGUACCUGUAGGUUAGCAGAUCCCCUCCUUUCCCACCCACCCUAGUGUGGCCCAGCACUAACCCACAGUCUCUUGGGUUGAGCCCUGGCAGUUCUGUCCCCUCCUGAGGUCCUGCCCUGCAUCAUGGCUUGCUUCCCGGAGCACUUCCCCUCCAGAAGUCUACAUUCUAGGGUGUAGGCUGAGUUCUUCUGUAAAGAGAUGAGCGUGAUGCC
rnacentral:lncRNA from 1 species